AAGGGAGCUGGCUCAGGAGAGAGUC
rnacentral:miRNA from 1 species